rnacentral:rRNA from 1 species
UACGGGGGGGGCAAGCGUUGUUCGGAAUUACUGGGCGUAAAGGGCUCGUAGGUGGCCAACUAAGUCAGACGUGAAAUCCCUCGGCUUAACCGGGGAACUGCGUCUGAUACUGGAUGGCUAGAGAUUGGGAGAGGGAUGCGGAAUUCCAGGUGUAGCGGUGAAAUGCGUAGAUAUCAGGAGGAACACCUAUUGCGAAGGCAGCUCGCUGGGACGUAACUGACGCUGAGACGCGAAAGCGUGGGGAGCAAACAGG